GUGCCAGCCGCCGCGGUAAUACGUAGGUGGCAAGCGUUAUCCGGAAUUACUGGGCGUAAAGCGCACGCAGGCGGCUAGUCAAGUUCGACGUGAAAGCUCCCGGCUUAACUGGGAGAGGUCGUUGAAAACUGGUUAGCUUGAGGCAAUGAGAGGGGUGUAGAAUUCCCGGUGUAGUGGUGGAAUGCGUAGAUAUCGGGAGGAAUACCAGUGGCGAAAGCGGCACCCUAGCGUUGUUCUGACGCUCAUGUGCGAAAGCGUGGGGAGCGAACGGGAUUAGAUACCCCUGUAGUCC
rnacentral:rRNA from 1 species